CGGGGUGCAGCAGGCGCGAAAACUUUGCAAUGCGGGAAACCGUGACAAGGGAACUCUGAGUGCCCGUUAAAUCGGGCUGUCCAUCGGUUUAAAUAACCGGUGAAGAAAGGGCCGGGCAAGACCGGUGCCAGCCGCCGCGGUAAUACCGGCGGCUCGAGUGGUGGCCACUAUUACUGGGCUUAAAGCGUUCGUAGCUGGUUUGUUAAGUCUCUGGGGAAAUCUUCCGGCUUAACCGGAAGGCGUCUCAGGGAUACUGGCAGACUAGGGACCGGGAGAGGUGAGAGGUACUCCAGGGGUAGGAGUGAAAUCCUGUAAUCCUUGGGGGACCACCUGUGGCGAAGGCGUCUCACCAGAACGGCUCCGACAGUGAGGGACGAAAGCUGGGGGAGCAAACCGGAUUAGAUACCCGGGUAGUCCCAGCUGUAAACGAUGCGCGUUAGGUGUAUCGGUGACCACGAGUCACCGAGGUGCCGAAGAGAAAUCGUGAAACGUGCCGCCUGGGAAGUACGGUCGCAAGGCUGAAACUUAAAGGAAUUGGCGGGGGAGCAC
rnacentral:rRNA from 1 species